AACGAACGCUGGCGGCAGGCUUAACACAUGCAAGUCGAACGAGAUCUUUGGAUCUAGUGGCAGACGGGUGAGGAACACGUGGGAACAUCCCUUUCAGUUCGGAAUAACGUUGGGAAACUAACGCUAAUACCGGAUACGUCCUUCGGGAGAAAGAUUUAUCGCUGAAAGAUUGGCCCGCGUCUGAUUAGCUAGUUGGUGAGGUAACGGCUCACCAAGGCUACGAUCGGUAGCUGAUCUGAGAGGAUGAUCAGCCACAUUGGGACUGAGACACGGCCCAAACUCCUACGGGAGGCAGCAGUGGGGAAUAUUGGACAAUGGACGAAAGUCUGAUGCAGCGAUUCCGCGUGGAGGAUGACGCAUCAUGGUGUGUAAACUCCUUUUCUGGUGGAAGACGAAUGACGGUACACCAGGAAUAAGAGACGGCUAACUACGUGCCAGCCGCCGCGGUAA
rnacentral:rRNA from 1 species